UAAAACAGGAAUUCUAUAUGUUUAGCUGUA
rnacentral:piRNA from 1 species